CUAUUAUAAAUUAAAAAUAAAAAAAUAGAAAGGGUUGCUCGGGACUGGGGGGAAUCAAACAUUCCCUGAUAAAGAGGGAACAUAAACAUCAUAUAUUUAUUGUCUAUUAUUAUAAUAUAAAGAGACAAGAAUGUGAGAAAGAAUCUCGAUGGGAAGGAAGGGGCUCGAGGGGAUGAUGGAUUUGGUCACCAAAACCCUCCAUAAGGGCCUCGGCUAACCCCCCACCAUUAGUUGUCUGUGGGUAAGUGCUGAGGACCAUUCCAUGGCCAAAGGUGGAAAAGAAAAUGCAUGGGCAAACUAAGUAGCUACUGAAAAUAAGGGAUCUCUAUGUAUCUUAUCAAGAAGAGAAUUCCCACCGCAAGUUAAGGACCAUAAGCAUAUAUAAAGGCUGGAAUGACACUCAUUCCAGUGUUCAUAAGCUGCACAUUUCCUGGUAGCAUCUUUCAGAAUACCAACAUAAUCAUUUGGUUCACUUGGGAUGCUCUCUGCAACAUGAUUCAAAUCUAUAGCGGCUGUGCCCUACUAAACCUCCUCACUCCUGCUUUGCCUUCUGCCUCAAAACAAACUUGUCCCUGACAGCGGCCCGCAGUUUUUUCAGUUCCAUCAGACAGGUACAAUGAGAUGCAUCUUUUAGCCCGGAAGAAGGAAGAGCGGAAAAUUAUAUUAUUAGUGCAAUGAGAAAGAAAGACAAUGUAAAUGAAUGUCCACUUUGGUUCCUUUCAUUAUCAUGAGCUCACAAUUUCUUUGAUACA